rnacentral:sRNA from 2 species
CCUUUUUAGUCGCUGAAACUGUUGCUUUAGUAUUGUGCAGUGCGGGGGACCCAUUUUUGGCAAUAAAACAUUUGUCUUGGGGUGAAUCUAAAUAUUUAGAAGGGAUACUUUAUGUCCCUAAUCCGACAGCUAACCUCGUAAGCGUCAUAGGGAGAAAAG